rnacentral:rRNA from 1 species
UAGGGAAUAUUGGGCAAUGGAGGCAACUCUGACCCAGCCAUGCCGCGUGCAGGAAGACGGUCCUCUGGAUUGUAAACUGCUUUUGAAUGGGAAGAAUGUGCUUCUUGCGAGAGGUAAUGACGGUACCAUUAGAAUAAGCCACGGCUAACUACGUGCCAGCAGCCGCGGUAAUACGUAGGUGGCGAGCGUUAUCCGGAUUUAUUGGGUUUAAAGGGUGCGUAGGCGGCUGAAUAAGUCGGUGGUUAAAGGUAGCCGCUUAACGGUUUUACAUGCCAUCGAUACUGUUUAGCUUGAGGGACUUGGAGGCAGCUGGAAUUUCCGGUGUAGCGGUGAAAUGCAUAGAUACCGGAAGGAACACCGAUUGCGAAGGCAGGUUGCUACGAGUCAUCUGACGCUGAUG